rnacentral:rRNA from 1 species
GACGAACGCUGGCGGCGUGCUUAACACAUGCAAGUCGAACGGAAAGGCCCUGCUUUUGUGGGGUGCUCGAGUGGCGAACGGGUGAGUAACACGUGAGUAACCUGCCCUUGACUUUGGGAUAACUUCAGGAAACUGGGGCUAAUACCGGAUAGGAGCUCCUGCUGCAUGGUGGGGGUUGGACCGUUUCGUCGGUUGUGGAUGGACUCGCGGCUUAUCAGCUUGUUGGUGGGGUAGUGGCUUACCAAGGCUUCGGCGGGUAGCCGGCCUGGGAGGGUGGCCGGCCUCAUUGGGCCUGAGAUACGGCCCAGACUGCUACGGGAGGCAGCAGUGGGGAAUAUUGCACAAUGGGGGGAAGCCUGAUGAAGCAACGCCGCGUGCGGGAUGACGGCCUUCGGGUUGUAAACCGCUUUCGCCUGUGACGAAGCGUGAGUGACGGUAAUGGGUAAAGAAGCACCGGCUAACUACGUG